rnacentral:lncRNA from 1 species
ACCCAUAAAUUGAUUUUUUUUUAAAUUCUCCAUCGCCCAUCCCACCUUACUUUAUGUCCUAUCCUCUUUGGUGGGUUCAACCUUUAUUCGUUGGUCUGAUUUGGGCUAUAUAAAAGGAGCCACCAUGCCACAACCAUUAGAAAUGCCCCAUCUCAUGGAAUGAUUUUUACCCAGUUUUCAUUUUUUAUCAUAAUUAACGGGGUUUCGAUAAACUUUUUUUUGUAAUAUCAUAUUUCAGAGAGAGAGAGACAGACAGACAGAGAUGAAACUACAAUUUCAAAUUCUGGCUAUCACACACACACAU